rnacentral:misc_RNA from 1 species
GAUGAAGAACGUAGUGAAAUGCGAUAAGUAGUGUGAAUUGCAGAAUUCAGUGAAUCAUCGAAUCUUUGAACGCACAUUGCGCCCCUCGGUAUUCCGUGGGGCAUGCCUGUUCGAGCGUCAUUUAACACCUCAAGCCUAGCUUGGUAUUGGGUGCUUGUCCCGCCUCUCGCGCGGCGACUCACCUCAAAGUCAUUGGCAGCCCGCAUCUCGCCGGCCGUGAGCGCAGCACAGACGCGCUCUUGGCAACGACGGAUCGGCUCUCCAAAAGCUUAUUUCAACCACUGACCUCGGAUCAGGUAGGGAUACCCGCUGAACUUAAGCAUAUCAAUAAGCGGAGGA